AACGAACGCUGGCGGCAGGCCUAACACAUGCAAGUCGAGCGAGGACUUCGGUCCUAGCGGCGGACGGGUGAGUAACGCGUGGGAACGUGCCCUUUGCUUCGGAAUAGCCCUGGGAAACUGGGAGUAAUACCGGAUGAGCCCUUUGGGGGAAAGAUUUAUCGGCGAAGGAUCGGCCCGCGUUGGAUUAGGUAGUUGGUGGGGUAAUGGCCUACCAAGCCGACGAUCCAUAGCUGGUUUGAGAGGAUGAUCAGCCACACUGGGACUGAGACACGGCCCAGACCCCGGGGGGAGGGAGCAGGGGGAAAUCGAAGACAAGGGGAAAGGCCCUGAUCGACCCAUGCGGGGGGAGAGAUGAGGGCCUUGGGGUAAAAAGGCUUUUAAGGCUGGGAGUAAAAUGAGGGUACAGAAAAAAGAAGCCCGGGCAACCCCCGCG
rnacentral:rRNA from 1 species